GAUGAACGCUAGCGGCAGGCCUAACACAUGCAAGUCGAGGGGUAGCAGGAUUAAGCUUGCAUAAUUGCUGACGACCGGCGCACGGGUGCGUAACGCGUAUGCAACCUACCUUAUACUGGGGUAUAGCCCGGAGAAAUUCGGAUUAAUCCCCCAUAGUACUAAUGAAUCGCAUGGUUUAUUAGUUAAAGCAUUGCGGUAUAAGAUGGGCAUGCGUCCUAUUAGCUAGAUGGUGAGGUAACGGCUCACCAUGGCUACGAUAGGUAGGGGGCCUGAGAGGGUGGUCCCCCACACUGGUACUGAGACGCGGACCAGACUCCUACGGGAAGCAGCAGUGAGGAAUAUUGGUCAAUGGGCGCAAGCCUGAACCAGCCAUGCCGCGUGCAGGAAGAAUGCCCUAUGGGUUGUAAACUGCUUUUAUUUGGGAAUAAACCUCUUUACGUGUAGAGAGCUGAAGGUACCAAAUGAAUAAGCACCGGCUAACUCCGUGCCAGCAGCCGCAGUAA
rnacentral:rRNA from 1 species